GAUCUUAGAGGCAUUAGUUUCUUCUUCAAAAUUUUUUUUUUCAAAAAGAUUAUUCUAUUACUAACGAAUACCUUUUGUUCAUCAACAAGAUAGAAGUAAUAUCCCUUAGUCUCUUUUAGGUAUCCUAUAAAUAAAUACUUGUCAGACCUAGAUCCGAGCUUAUCUAUUUUUAAAUAUUUGACAUAAGCUGGAUAUCCCCAAACCCUA
rnacentral:lncRNA from 1 species